AGAGACUAUGCAUUAAUAUUCAGUGAAGCACAUUACAAGAUCAGUGACCAAAUUUGGAGAUGUAAAACAGAACAAGAAAAAUUGACAAUUUUUGAAAAUUUUCUCCUAGACAAGAAAAGAAAAAGAAAAAUAACCAUGAUAAGUUCCUCCGAUGGGAAAUAUUCUGUUGUAAACAAGGCCAAAAACAUUGCCAAGAAACCUUGCCAAAGAAAACGGCCAGUAAACGAGAGAACCCAAAAACGAUAACCACUCUGCGUUAUAUAGGUUGUAAAUUAUGUAAAUCAUGUAUAUAUAGUCAUUGAUGUAAUAAAUAAUUAUAUGAAAAUACUUGUCACUUGUAUUUGUUAGUUAGAAUUUUAACAGAAAAAAGAAAUCGAUACCAAACAAAAAAGGAUAGUAAGAUAUACACAAAAUAAAAGUAAUAUAU
rnacentral:lncRNA from 1 species